rnacentral:rRNA from 1 species
GGAAAAGAAACCAACAGGGAUUGCCUCAGUAACGGCGAGUGAAGCGGCAACAGCUCAAAUUUGAAAUCUGGCCCCCCGGGCCCGAGUUGUAAUUUGCAGAGGAUGCUUUUGGCGCGGUCCCCUCCGAGUCCCCUGGAAUGGGGCGCCACAGAGGGUGAGAGCCCCGUAUGGUCGGAGACCAAGCCUUUGUAAAGCUCCCUCGACGAGUCGAGUAGUUUGGGAAUGCUGCUCAAAAUGGGAGGUAAAUUUCUUCUAAAGCUAAAUACUGGCCAGAGACCGAUAGCGCACAAGUAGAGUGAUCGAAAGAUGAAAAGCACUUUGAAAAGAGGGUUAAACAGCACGUGAAAUUGUUGAAAGGGAAGCGCUUGUGACCAGACUUGCGCCGGGCGGAUCAUCCAGCGUUCUCCGCUGGUGCACUCCGUCCGGCUCAGGCCAGCAUCGGUCUCCGGCGGGGGACAAAAGCUCCGGGAACGUGGCCUCUCCUCAGAGGUGUUAUAGCCCGGCUGCAGAAUACCCCGCCUCGGGGACCGAGGACCGCGCCCUCCGGGGCAAGGAUGCUGGCGUAAUGGUCAUCAGCGACCCGUCUUGAAACACGGACCAAGGAGUCGAGCAUUAGGGCGAGUGUAUGGGUGUAAAACCCGCACGCGUAAUGAAAGUGAACGUGGGUGAGAAGCUUUUCUUUCACGAGAAGCCGCAUCAUCGACCGAUCCUGAAGUCUUCGGAUGGAUUUGAGUAGGAGCCUUAACGCUCGGACCCGAAAGAUGGUGAACUAUGCCUGGAUAGGGUGAAGCCAGAGGAAACUCUGGUGGAGGCUCGCAGCGGUUCUGACGUGCAAAUCGAUCGUCAAAUUUGGGCAUAGGGGCGAAAGACUAAUCGAACCAUCUAGUAGCUGGUUACCGC